rnacentral:rRNA from 1 species
GGAGUCUGGGCCGUAUCUCAGUCCCAGUGUGGCCGGACACCCUCUCAGGCCGGCUACCCGUCGUCGCCUUGGUGAGCCGUUACCUCGCCAACUAGCUGAUAGGGCACGAGCACCUCCUAUGGCGCAUUGCUGCUUUAACCUCUCGGCCUAUGGGGUAUUAGCGUUCAUUUCUAAACGUUGUCCCCCACCACAGGACAGCUUCUCAUGUUGUACUCACCCGUCCGCUGCUCCGCUCGCGCCUUCCAUGUCGCCACUUCAGACGCGUCGUCGCCCAACUUGCAUGUGUUACGCACGCCGCCAGCGUUCAUC